GGUCUCAUGGUGUAGCGGUAACACAUCCUGAAUUGGUUUUUGAUGACUAAUAGGGUGUGAGGAAGUCCCUUGUUCGAAUCAAGGUCAGGCCA